rnacentral:rRNA from 1 species
GUAGGUGGCAAGCGUUGUCCGGAAUUAUUGGGCGUAAAGCGCGCGCAGGUGGUCUUUAAGUCUGAUGUGAAAGCCCCCGGGCUCAACCGGGGAGGGUCAUUGGAAACUGGGGAACUUGAGUGCAGGAGAGGAAAGUGGAAUUCCACGUGUAGCGGUGUAAUGCGUAGACAUGUGGAGGAACACCAGUGGCGAAGGCGACUUUCUGGCCUGUAACUGACACUGAGGCGCGAAAGCGUGGGGAGCAAACAGGAUUAGAUACCCUGGUAGUCCACGCCGUAAACGAUGAGUGCUAAGUGUUGGGGGGUUUCCGCCCCUCAGUGCUGCAGCUAACGCAUUAAGCACUCCGCCUGGGGAGUACGGUCGCAAAGACUG